GUGCUCACUUCAGCAGCACAGCCACUAAAGCUGGAACAUGCAGAGAAGAGGAGCGUGGUCCGUGCACAAGGAUGACACAGAAAUUAAUGAGGCAUUCCGUAUUCUG
ensembl:snRNA U6 U6 spliceosomal RNA